rnacentral:lncRNA from 1 species
CUCUGUUUAUACCAAACGUUGGUGUUGUACUGUUGCGCCCAGCUGAUGCAUGGCUCGAUUUGCAUAAACUCACAAAGUGUUUUUCUCUCUGCUCUCAGGGUGCUUGUCUGGCAGCGGGAGACGUACUCUGCUUUUGCCUCUCUGGACCAAAGUUUGUAUGGAGAGCAGAGGUCAAGGACCAGAGUGGAGGAGGGGCCACCUUAUUGGGGUUUCUGCAGAACCCCAUCCUCCCACCCUUGGCCCAGGGGGUGCAGUGGACCUUCUCAGUUAGACGACUGCGUGACCGGCAAGCAGAGGGGGGCUGAGCACGCUUUCCGUACACAACCACGCCGGGC